AUUGAACGCUGGCGGCAGGCCUAACACAUGCAAGUCGAACGAGCGGCGGACGGGUGAGUAAUGUAUGGGAAUCUGCCUGAUGGAGGGGGAUAACUACUGGAAACGGUAGCUAAUACCGCAUACCAUCAGAUGUACCCAUAUGGACUUAGCUUGUAGGUGAGGUAACGGCUCACCAAGGCGACGAUCCCUAGCUGGUCGGAGAGGAUGAUCAGCCACACGGUGAAUGAGACACGGCCCAGACUCCGACGUGAGGCAGCAGGGGGGAAUAUUGCACAAUGGGCGCAAGCCUGAUGCAGCCAUGCCGCGUGUAUGAAGAAGGCCUUCGGGUUGUAAAGUACUUUCAGUCGGGAGGCGUUACCGACAGAAGAAGCACCGGCUAACUCCGUGCCAGCGGCCGCGGUAAUAC
rnacentral:rRNA from 1 species